AAACGACUUUCUUGGUGACAUGAGGAAAAUUGCUGCCUAUUUAUCUGAAAAGGAUCCAAUUGUCCCACCUCAAGUCCUAAAUAAUACUCCUCGAUAGGUUGGGACGUGAUAUGACUGGGCAACAUGGUGCCAAUCACCACGAUUCCUUGCAUUUUCAUUUUAUGUAAAUUUCCGCAUCCAUUUGAACCAGCACUGACCAAACGUGAUUCUUCGAUCCAUAUGAGCAACGAGUCCUAAGUCAAUCUGGUAUGUAGGCCUCUUCUUCAUUAAUACUGAAUUCCCUCAUCCAUUUGAACCAGCACUGACCAAACCUGAUUCUUCGAUCCAUAUGAGCAACGAGUCCUAAGUCAAUCUGGUAUGUAGGCCUCUUCUUCAUUAAUACUGAAUUCCCUCAUAUCAUUUCUGUAACAUGAAAUUAAAAGCACAUCUUGUUAUAUGCAAAAAAGAUAAUGAAAUAGAUGUCAGAGGCUUUAAACUUAAUCAUUGCAUCACACACAUGCACAACGCGCAUGCACACAUGCAUGCACACAUGCUCACAAACACUUUGCACAUGUGUGAAGUGUGUGCACAAUGUUUUUAUGUGCCUUCCUUGGCACCAACAUAUUUUACAAGAAACUAGAGAAAUUUACCAACUGAAAAGCAAAAAAGAUGUCAGCAUCGUCUAUUCUCUGGGUUAUAUUCUGUUGAGCUUGUGCUAUUUUGAAUUUUUAUUACUGUUUUACCCCUAGUCUAUGAGUCUAACUUUCAAAUUGAUUAAAAUGCAAAAGAAUACAUAGGUUUUUGGGUGAUUUUUGGUAUCUAACUUGAAAUAAAUAAGAAAACUGAUGCGUUAAAUAGAUUCAUAAGUUUUAUUGCCCAAAAGACACACAUAAUUCACAUGUGUUCUGUAGUCCGAUAUGAAAUAUAUCACACCGUUGUUUCUUCUGAUUUUUAAUGCGGUCCUCCAACAUUGCACGAUUACGCUUGAAAAAGAAUUGCCAAAUAUGGGGUUGUCUAAUUUUUCUGAUAUCAAACCACCCCAUAAAUGGGUCGUCUUCCUAUCCAAAGCAUUGGACUGCCCUAGAAAUAAUAAAAAUAAAAAUAAGAAAAUUACAAAAAAUAAAAUUGCAGGUUAUGUGUUUGCAACAUCAGAAAGGUGGCAAAUUUUAAGUAAAUAAAAAACACACACAAAAAGUGGGACCUCCAUGUAAAAUUCUCAAAAAUUUAGACCAGGCCAUAAUUCUGGUAGAAAUAACUAGUUCGUACCGUUGUGACAUUAUCGUCAAUAAUUUGUAUCAUUUAUCUUUAUCUUUUCACGAGAAAAUCAAGGGCUGGUAAUAUUUUUGAAACUAUCACAAUAAAAUGAAUUUAUAACACGAUAAGAUGGGCCACCCUUUAAUUGUCCUGAAAAUAACCUUCGAUGAUAAUAACUUAAUAAUAAUUUUGAAUACUAAAAUUUGGGAGGAAAAUGCUCAAAUAAUAGGUCCCUAUCUAAUUAGUAACAUAGUUACCCAAAAGCAACAAAUUUCUAUCGUUUUAAUGAUUUAGAAUGCGGAAUUUUUUAGAAACUUAGAUACAACUUAAAAAUAUAGAAACUAAUCGUCAUUGUCAUAAAAAAAAAAAAAGAGACCUUGUAAAUC